rnacentral:rRNA from 1 species
AUGAGCUGCCGCCGCUUUGUUAAUAUGGUUGUUGACACCGUCAUUGGUGACCGCCAUGCCUACGCUCUUCACUGCAUCAAUAUGUCGGGCUUAUUUUACCCAACCAAGCCAACAACAACACAGCUAGGAGGAGCAGAUGCAAAAGAUGGUAAUACGGUUGAGUCCAGUGAGCUGCCUCGCCCUGCCAUGUCCUUCUACCCCUGCCGAAAUAACGGGGCUCCGGUCGGGAGUGUGGAAUUCAUGCCCGUCAGCAGAGACAAGAACGACAUCCUCACCAUCGACCAGGAUGGCCGAACCUUGAUGUACAGUGUUGCCUCACGUGCCUUCCACAUCCUACCGCCACUGCAGACACCCAUAUGGGAGCCUACCUCCGUGAUCGCUGGUGGCAAGCUCUAUGUGAUGAAAAGCUCCCCCUUCCCCACCACCUCCCACUGCUUUGAGGCUCUCAUCUAUGGCCACCACCCUGGAAUCGACUAUCUCCCAGAGUGCUGGUACUGGCGUUCUCUCCCACCGCCUCCCUUCAGGAACAGCAACCAUCGUCUCGAUGACAACCAAUUUAUUGGUGGAGGCUAUGCAGAUGAGGAUGGCGACCUAUCUAGAGUCACUGCCUACACGGUUGUGAAUGAUUUAGAUAUCUGGGUGUCACAGGGUGGAACGACCUACUCCUUUGACACGGUGAGCAGUGCAUGGACCAGUUUUGGAGAGUGGACGCUGCCAUUCCGAGGCCAUGCUGAGUACAUCCCGGAGAACAAGCUCUGGUUUGGCUUGUCAUCUGAUGGGGACUUGCUUUGCACCUCUGACCUCAGUAGCACGUCAAGGCCUCCUCAGCUGCACAAUCUGUGGAAGGAGCUAGCGCCACCUAAGGAAUGGUUCCUUCACAACUCCUACCUUGUGCACUUAGGCUCUGGCAAGUUUUGCAUCGCCAAGUUCUUUGAGACAGGUCGGAUAUCCAACACUCAGUACAAUGAGAGGUUCGCAGUGCUCACCGGCGUGGAGGUGAAGCGCUGUGGCAAGCAUGGAACAGAGCUCCGGAUGGUCAAGCACGGGUCCAGGCGCUAUAGCCUGAACAAACAAUCUUACUUCCGGGUAUCAACAAUAAAUCAGUCGAGCUGGAGAGGGAACAUUUCUCAGUUUCUGUGCUACUCUUCAGUUCGGUGUGCACAAUCUGAUCGCUUGUACCAUUUCCGCUUCGCCGGUGGCAAGGCGGACGCUACAGGCACGUUGUGGAGCCAAGGCCUGUGCGGCUGCACGUGCAUGCCGGUGAGUGGGAAUAUGGCCAUGUUCAAGCGAGGACACCGGGCUCAGCUGCUUGUGCCCGAGACGCUGGUCGAGAACAUGCUAUUCCUCGCUGUUGGCAUGCGCGUGGAACUCAAUAGGAUGGUGAAGGAGGGUAGGGAGCCAAGAGGAUACGCGAUGGAGCUGCGCAAUGCAUGUGCUGUUGGAGUUAACCACGUCAGAGAGUCCAUGCCCGGUGUCAGGGACUUAGGGUACGUUAGCUUUGUAGGCUAG